rnacentral:rRNA from 1 species
GACGAACGCUGGCGGCGUGCCUAAUACAUGCAAGUCGAGCGGACCUCUUCGGAGGUCAGCGGCGGACGGGUGAGUAACACGUGGGCAACCUGCCUGUAAGACUGGGAUAACACCGGGAAACCGGUGCUAAUACCGGAUAAUCCUUUUCUUCACAUGGGGAAAAGCUGAAAGACGGUUUCGGCUGUCACUUACAGAUGGGCCCGCGGCGCAUUAGCUAGUAGGUGAGGUAACGGCUCACCAAGGCGACGAUGCGUAGCCGACCUGAGAGGGUGAUCGGCCACACGGGGACUGAGACACGGCCCAGACUCCUACGGGAGGCAGCAGUAGGGAAUCUUCCGCAAUGGACGAAAGUCUGACGGAGCAACGCCGCGUGAGCGAAGAAGGCCUUCGGGUCGUAAAGCUCUGUUGUCAGGGAAGAACACGUACCGGAGUAACUGCCGGUACCUUGACGGUACCUGACCAGAAAGCCACGGCUAACUACGUGCCAGCAGCCGCGGUAA